rnacentral:lncRNA from 1 species
AAAUUUAUUCAAGGAUGUUCAAAAAUCAUCUAUCGAAUCAGAGGUUAGAUUUUAUUGAGAAAAAAAUAGCAUAUGUUACUGGAAAAAAAUAGUGGCUUUUUACUUUUUUUUUUUUUUUUUUUUUUGAGUUUGUGUGCACUUGAAAUGUGGAGUUAGAAAAAGAGAAAUAAGGGGUCCGAAUCUGAACUAUGUUACAAAAUAAAAGAUAAAUAUUACAGUUUUUAAUUGUAUAUAUAAUACAGAGUAAAGGAACUAUGUGGGAACUUUGGCUAUCACCUUGUUAUUUCAUUCCUCCUUUGGUACACUAGAUGCUGAGGAUACAAAGAAGAACAGGAUAUGAUCCUCACCAUGAAGGAGUUCACAUCAUAGUAGAGGAGAUAUCUAUUUGUAAAAACUAAAUGAUAGAAGAGGCACUAAAUAUUAUAAAAGAUGUUUUUAACAACAACAAAAAAAUCCAUGGAAAGCAGAUUAGAGACCAGUUACUUCUAUUAGAAUGGGAAGUAGUGAUGUUAUUGAAGAAAGCUUUUCAGAUGACUUUUUGAGAAGAAUAUGUCAAUUGUCUAGGACUGUGUUUCAGUAAAAUAUUGUUUCUUUUCUUAAAAUUCUUCAUUAUAAAAUUAUGUUGGCCAACCACGGUGGCUCGCGCAUGUAAUCUCAGCAAUUUGGGAGGCCGAGGUAAACGGAUCUCCUGAGGUCAGGAAUUUGAGACCAGCCCGGUCAACAUGGUGAAACCCUGUUUCUACUAAAAAUACAAAAAUUAGCCAGGCAUAGUGGCAGGUGCCUGUAGACCCAGCUAUUCGGGAGGCUGAGACAGGAGAAUCGCUUGGACCCAGAGGCAGAGGUUUCAGUGAGCGGAGAUCAGGCCACUGCACUUCAGCCUGGGUGACAGAGAGAGACUCCACCUCAAAAAAAAAAAAAAAAUUAUGUUGUGAUUUAGGAAUAUCUGUUUUUAAAAAUAUUUUACAGACAAGCAUGUUACAAAUACCAUAGGAGAAAUAUAUAAUGAAGUUCUUUGUUAGAUUCUAUAGUUGUUUUUAC